rnacentral:rRNA from 1 species
CCUACGGGAGGCAGCAGUGAGGAAUAUUGGUCAAUGGGCGAGAGCCUGAACCAGCCAAGUCGCGUGAAGGAUGACUGUCCUAGGGGUUGUAAACUUCUUUUAUAAGGGAAUAAAGUGAGGCACGUGUGCCUUUUUGUAUGUACUUUAUGAAUAAGGAUCGGCUAACUCCGUGCCAGCAGCCGCGGUAAUACGGAGGAUCCGAGCGUUAUCCGGAUUGAUUGGGGUUAAAGGGAGAGUAGAGGGGUUGUUAAGUCAGUUGUGAAAGUUUGCGGCUCAACCGUAGAACUGCAAUUGAUACUGGCAGCCUUGAGUACAGUUGAGGUAGGCGGAAUGCGUAGUGUAGCGGUGAAAUGCUUAGAUAUUACGAAGAACACCGGUUGCGAAGGCAGCUUACUAAACUGCCACUGACGUUGAGGCACGAAAGUGUGGGGAUCAAACAGGAUUAGAUACCCCAGUAGUC